CAAGGCUUCCCAAAUGCUGUAAGAAUACAAGACCUGAUUCUGUAAUAACUACCUGGCACCGUGGCUGAGAUGUUGGCAGAUCAUCCGACGAGAAGUUAGAAGAGUUGCUGUGAUGCUGCAUAAGCCUACCCAGAAAGAAGUAGAUGUGAGCACAGCCUGACUUGACAUGCUACGUACAAGAGCAGAAAUCCUGCAGCGUCCUAGGAGCUCUUACAUAAGCCAGCAGGAUCCUCCUACCAUGAACAUGCCAACACGUGCUACUUCGAUCUACUUUCUACCAUGGGGAACCUGAGGAAGAGAUGCUACAAGACACAAAGACGCAAGAAUUCAGGCAAGAUCCACAAGGG